GACGAACGCUGGCGGCGUGCUUAACACAUGCAAGUCGAACGGAAAGGCCCCUUUGGGGGUACUCGAGUGGCGAACGGGUGAGUAACACGUGAGUAACCUGCCCUUGACUUCGGGAUAACUUCAGGAAACUGGGGCUAAUACCGGAUAGGAAUCCUUGCUGCAUGGUGGGGGUUGGAAAGCUUCGGCGGUUUUGGAUGGACUCGCGGCUUAUCAGCUUGUUGGUGGGGUAGUGGCUUACCAAGGCUUUGACGGGUAGCCGGCCUGAGAGGGCGACCGGCCACAUUGGGACUGAGAUACGGCCCAGACUCCUACGGGAGGCAGCAGUGGGGAAUAUUGCACAAUGGGCGGAAGCCUGAUGCAGCAACGCCGCGUGCGGGAUGACGGCCUUCGGGUUGUAAACCGCUUUCAGCAGGGGCGAAGCUUGUGGUGACGGUACCUGCAGAAGAAGCGCCGGCUAACUACGUGC
rnacentral:rRNA from 1 species